GUAGCUUAGUUGGUAGAGUUCUUGCCUAGGAUGCAGGAAGUUCUGGGUUCAAUACCCAGC
rnacentral:tRNA from 1 species